rnacentral:lncRNA from 1 species
UCAUUGUUUUGGAGAGAUGCUGCUGCAGUGAAUUACCGCCCCCGUCAUUGGUGGUGAUGGUGGGAGGGGCAGAGGAUGCCGCCACUGCAGGCAUCUCCUUCCUUUGCCGGCCAUGCCUCCUCUUCUUUUUUGAGGUUCAAGCAUGAAGAGAUCCGUCAUCAUCCGAUGACUCCGUAAACUGACAGCUUCACACUACGCAUAG